rnacentral:rRNA from 1 species
GAUGAUAGCUUGCUAUCAGGCGUCGAGCGGCGGACGGGUGAGUAAUACUUAGGAAUCUACCUAGUAGUGGGGGAUAGCUCGGGGAAACUCGAAUUAAUACCGCAUACGACCUACGGGAGAAAGGGGGCAACUUGUUGCUCUCGCUAUUAGAUGAGCCUAAGUCGGAUUAGCUAGAUGGUGGGGUAAAGGCCUACCAUGGCGACGAUCUGUAGCUGGUCUGAGAGGAUGAUCAGCCACACCGGGACUGAGACACGGCCCGGACUCCUACGGGAGGCAGCAGUGGGGAAUAUUGGACAAUGGGGGCAACCCCGAUCCAGCCAUGCCGCGUGUGUGAAGAAGGCCUUUUGGUUGUAAAGCACUUUAAGCAGUGAAGAAGACUCCAUGGUUAAUACCCAUGGACGAUGACAUUAGCUGCAGAAUAAGCACCGGCUAACUCUGUGCCAGCAGCCGCGGUAAUACAGAGGGUGCAAGCGUUAAUCGGAAUUACUGGGCGUAAAGCGAGCGUAGGUGGCUUGAUAAGUCAGAUGUGAAAUCCCCGGGCUUAACCUGGGAACUGCAUCUGAUACUGUUAGGCUAGAAUAGGUGAGAGGAAGGUAGAAUUCCAGGUGUAGCGGUGAAAUGCGUAGAGAUCUGGAGGAAUACCGAUGGCGAAGGCAGCCUUC